rnacentral:lncRNA from 1 species
GUCAAAAAUCCAACACAAGUUUUGACAUUUUUAAUAGUUCCAGUUUUAAAAUUUGUUAUUUGUCAAGCCUGCAAGUAAAGUGUCCAAAUCUAGACAUAACAAUCCUUCAAUGGGGAACGGAUUUAUAUACGUUUUUCUUGUUUCCAAAUCCCUACAUUUCUAUUGUAUUAUUGCAACAUGUGCACUUUUGAAAAAUAAAAUACUGUUUUUUGAACUAAACUAUAAUCCUU